rnacentral:lncRNA from 1 species
AGCAGACCUGGGUUUGUGUCCAGGCCCAGGCUCCUACUUCUGUGACAACCUGGCUCUGGUUUCUUCUAUCAAGUAGGGUUCGUGAUGCUUGCGUCAAAGGACUUGGUAAAUGGAGGACAGUGAAGACCCUUUGCAAACUGUAAGGUUCCAAAGACUAUUUUCAUCUCUGCUGAGUUUGAUGCAGGAAUGAGAGAGGAUGGCCAGACGAGAAGGGGCUCCUGAAGAAGGUUCCUCCUCAACCUCUGAGACCCGGCGAGACUCAGGAGUUCGGAGUCCCAGCCUGGUUCAGCCCACUGAGGUCUCUACCUGCUGAGUGAGUGAUGAAGAGCCCCCAGCAGGGGUCAAACUGACCUGAUGUUUAAUCUCAACUCUCCCUCUUACCAGCUGUGUGAUCCUGGGCAAGUUACUUAACCUCUCUCAGCCUCAGCAUCCUCAUCUCCAGCGUGCAGAUGAUAAUGCUUAUUCCUUAGACUUCCAGUGAGGAUUACAUGAAAUAAAGUAUGUAAAGUGCCUGGCAUGUAUCAGUUCCCAGGUAAAAGCAACAACAUUCAUCCAUCCUUAAUUCAUUUCAUAAACAUUUCAGGAACCUGGAAGUCUCCUGGCCCCCACCUUACCCC